UAAGUGCUCCCAUGUUGGGAUUU
rnacentral:miRNA from 1 species